rnacentral:lncRNA from 1 species
AGCACAUGCCCCAGCCCCCAUCCACGAAAAUCACAAACCCUCAACCCCAACCCACCCACUCCUCCUCCUUCCUCCUCCAGCCCCAGCCGCCAGGGGACACACCUUUCCCCUCCAAAAUGGCAAUGUGAGCAGAGGAAGGAAGCUUGUGAGCAGAGGAAGCCGCCAGGGCACACACCCACCCACUUCUCCUCCUUCCUCCUCCAGCCCCAACCGCCAGCCCCCAUCCACGAAAAUCAGAAACCCUCAUCGCAGCACACAAAAACAUGGAUGCAGGAAGAGAUCAGAGGGCACAAAGCACUCACCAGGGUAUGCACGCCUCUCCCCUCUCCAGAUCUCGGAUUCUUGUCUCUGUUCUUGUAUUAUCUUUCCCUUUUAUUCUUCAGAAUUCUAUUGUGGAAAACACAAAAAAGGGAAAAAAUAAAAAGUGAAUACAGAACAACCCCCAUAGCUGCAAAUUCGUAAAAAAACAAGGAGCUUUCUUCCUAGGUGCUGCAUCCUUCAUAUACCUGACAAAGAAACUCUUGACAUUGAUUGCAGCUGUUCUUGAUGUUUAUGGAGCUUCUCUGUUUGGUUCUCAG